AACGCACCUUGCGGCCGCCGGUAAUCCGGCGGCCAUGCCCGUCCGAGCGUCGUUUCGACCCUCGGGAGUUCUCCUCGCAAGAGAAGUUCUCCCGGCUUUGGGCCAGCGCAUUGCGCGGCCCGCAGACCAGCGGCGGCAGUACCGGCGAUGUCCUCUGUGCAGUAGAUUUAUAGAAAACUCGCAUUGGUCCCCGGUAAGGCUUGCCUUGCAACCAACUUUUUUAGGUCGACCUCGGAUCGGGUAGGGAUACCCGCUAAACUUAA
rnacentral:misc_RNA from 1 species